rnacentral:pre_miRNA from 1 species
GGGGGGAGCGCCGGAUCUUGGCUGUGUCCCCAGUGCCCUGAGCUCCGGGGCCUGCACCAGUGAAAUUGCGCUCCCGGGGCCGCGCAGCCCCCU